CCGCCGGACCGGCGUGUGUGCGUUAAGCCUCUUUAUUGCUUUCUUCCUCCAUUCGAUCGCUUCCCGAUCUCGUCGCCAUUUUCCUCGGAGUGAAACGAUCGAUCCGAAAAGUUGGUGUAGGUGACGAGGAGGAGAUUGAGACUGGAGAUUGAUGGAGGUGGAGCCGCCGGGGCCGCUGCGGUAUCUGAUUGGGGCGGCGAUCAUGAUGGUCGGCGUGGUACUUCCGCUCGGGUACAUGAUGUUCCGCAUCAAGCGCGUCCCCUCGUCCGCCUCGACCUACUCCAAACAGACGUAGGUCUAAAGGGCUGAUCUAGGGAUCGUUCACAGCUCCUCUGCUGCCAUCUCUUUACGGUGGUGGAGAAAUUACUGGAGGGUACACCGUUAAUGAUUUUUGAUAUAUCUUUUUUCUUGGGCCGUGUAUUUAAAAGCUUUAGUUUAGCUUGUAUUUGAUUUUGGUUAUAGGAAUUGCUUCUGUGGAAAGUCUGCUCAUCAUGUGCCUGGUUCCAUUGGCUACAAUUGUCAUUAUUAAAAUGUUUGCUUGUUACUUGCUUUGGUUCGAGCAAUAAUUAA